GUGUUUGUGCCAGGAUACACCUGUGUGUGGCUGUAAAGCAAUUAUCCAAAUUGCACUUCAAAUUGAACCUCUCUGCUCCCCUUGAGGCAUUUUGGGUCGCAAUCUCCCAGAUUUCCAUUAAAAAGGAAAUUGAAAUUUACAAGUUUCGUGCACUUCUUUUUUAGGGCCAAAACAAUGAAAAUUCUGUAUACGGCCACUACUUAUACACAUUUGGGCAUAGUAUAUAUUGCUAUAUCUGUGAAUAGUUCGAGAAAACUGUAUACAGAUGAGUAGAGGGAAAUAGUAAGAGACAAAGUCUACCACAACGAAACUAAGUUACAUAAAAAACAUACACCAAAUUUCAGUGAAAUAUUCGGGCUUUAAAUAUAGGGAAACAUAGUAAAAUUACAAGGCAGUUACUUUGAUUAACCAUAUGUAAACAUAUUAAAAAGUAUUUCUAUAAAUGAAAUUACGAUUGAUAUCCAAAAUGCAAGUAAGUCUUGCUUGCCCUUCACAUGGAUGCAUUUCCGAUCUGACUGCUCGGCGUAGACAAGUCACAACAGAUAACUUAGAUAAAGAUGAGCGAGGUAAGAAAGAAUGCUUAGCAGACAAGCAGGUCAAGCAGUGCAAAUAGUAAACACGAUGGAACUAACAAAAUGAUAAUAAACAUACGAAUUUUGAGCAGCAACAGACAAUAUGCGCCUGGAUUGGCCAAUAAUUACUGGCUGCUCCGAAUAAUAAAUAUAAACCACUUGCAAGUAAAUAUUACAUAAAUUUGUACGAAUUAUUUUCAUAUUAAUGCCGAACUGUAAGUGGAAACACUUCCAUUCAAAUGUUUCCACUCUCGGUGCAAAUACAUAUAAUGGCAUACAAAUUUAAGCCUAGAUGGUCAUGCCUAUUUUUAGUACGUUAAAGUCAUCACAUUUUUUAAAUACUAGUAUAUGAUUCGAAUUAGGGAUACAUUUCGAAGUUCGCUUUCUUUAUACAAGAGUCGAAGAGAUAUACUUGGUGAUGAGAACUAGCGCAAAUCUAGAUUUGUGUGUUCUUCUUAAUUUUCAUUUCAGUUAUAAACUUGAAAUGUUUUCUACAACUUUAGCUGGCCAAGUAACUCUUCUCGCUCAAGCUUUGAGUAAGUGUUAAAAACAGUAGUUACAUGUGAUCCAAGGACUUGUUAGUCUGCAGACUGCAGCAGCUCAGCAACGGCUGGAGCUGUAUGAAACAUUUGUUCAAAACGACGAAGGCUAAUGGAAAUAAUAUAUGACACAAUCUAGGGUUAAGUCUUAGUUUUAAAAUUUAAGCAAUAUCUAAGCAUUAAUUGAAGGUAGUCGUAGAUGAAAUGGAUGCCACCGACAACCAACAAUUACUUCGGGAAUACAUCAUUGUUUGCUAUUUCAAAUACCAAUGAAACUAGUUGUAUGUUCCAUUCAAUCGUAGAAGUAUUUUUAGCCCGGAAUAAAUAUGUUUUAGAAAACUUAAUUGGCCAGACUGUCCGCCCCUAUACCAAGGUUGGCCUUCAUCCGGAAGAUUGUCAGAGACCACAAGACAAAAGACCUUUUUUGUGGGGUCCUAGGUCGGAGGUGUAAGGGCAAACAGCAUUUGAGUGCUUGCUUCAUUUGGCCCAGGUCUGCCUGCUUCCAGCCCCAGGCGCUUCCGGGUGCGGUCGGUCUGCCCCGGAUCGACCCCAGCACGGGAUCUGGAUAAAGCCAUGAAGAAGGAGCCAGGGUCCUGCCUGGCACGAGUAUUCAGUGGAGGGCCAGGCAGGACGGACCGGACCGGGCCGUGCCGGGCUGGGCGGGGUCGGGAUGUAGGAGCUACUUAGCAAACAUCAACACCUGUUAAGAGUUACACUCGAGAACAAAGCUGCAAAUUGGCUGGCGGUAAGUGCAGCUGUAGCUAAGAGGCGACCGACCCACACCAGCGACAUCACCAACACCAGCACCAGCACCACCCCCACCACAAACCCCAACAGCAGCAACAACAAUAACUAAUCAAUUUGCAGGACGCAAGCAACGAGAGAGACAGCUAUAUAAGGAGAGAGAGAACGAAAACGGGAACGGGACAGGGAGAGAGAGCUAUGACGAUGGAAAUUUUGCUGACCGCAGGCAAUGGCGAUGUUCCGGGCCAUGACGACGCCAUGGUAAUGGUAGCACAAAGCACGCCAAGGAAGGACGGGGGGCCUUAAACUUCAUUAUGAGAUUUGUGUAAUUGUUAACCAAUUUACCGUUACGUUUUGCAUGCCACAAGCCACAGCAGCAGCAGCAGCAACAAAUCCAUUCCAACUGUGCUGCCACUCGCCCUUCAAGACGAUAACGCUCGUGAUAUAUUGUCCACAUUAUAAUACCGGAAAUGUUAUUAAUUCAAAAUUCUGCUCAAUUUCGUGCACUUUGUAGGCUGUUGCUGCUUUAGCUUCACGCUGCAGAUGUAGAUGUCGAUUUAAGGAUUGGGCAAACUGCUUCAAACAGCUCAGAUCGUGGUAUUUGUAAUUGGGCUUGUAUCUGCACCGUAUAGAUGUAGCAAUAUAUAUGUAUGUAUAUAUUUUCCAGUGUGCAGUUGCACCUAUCGGCGGUUGCAACUAAAUGAACGAAAUGAUCAGGCAUCCAGAGAAAUCCGCUGAAGCCGACGGCACAGUAGGACAUGCCGGGAAAAGGGAGACUUUUGGUGGAAAAUAUUUUGAAUAGAAACAAAGAUGGCCUAAGAUAUUCCAUUUGCCAACAGUUAGUAGUGAGUUUCCUUAGUAUGAGAAAAUUUGAUUGGGUUUAUAAAAAGUUACUUCCUUAAUGCACCACAUCCCAACAACUGGGGAUCAAGUUAACCAUUAGAUCAAUUAGAUAUAACCAUGCAAAUGAAGCAGUAAAAGGACUACACCCUCAAAAAUUAUCUUAUUCAAUUAAACUCUUAAAAUACUUAGUAUGUAGUAAAACUAAAAAAAAACUCAGUUAAAAAAUAAAAA